GAUGAACGCUGGCGGCGUGCUUAACACAUGCAAGUCGAACGAAGCACUUUAUUUGAUUUCCUUCGGGAUUGAUUAUUUUGUGACUGAGUGGCGGACGGGUGAGUAACGCGUGGGUAACCUGCCUUGUACAGGGGGAUAACAGUUGGAAACGGCUGCUAAUACCGCAUAAGCGCACAGCAUCGCAUGAUGCAGUGUGAAAAACUCCGGUGGUAUAAGAUGGACCCGCGUUGGAUUAGCUAGUUGGUGAGGUAACGGCCCACCAAGGCGACGAUCCAUAGCCGACCUGAGAGGGUGACCGGCCACAUUGGGACUGAGACACGGCCCAAACUCCUACGGGAGGCAGCAGUGGGGAAUAUUGCACAAUGGGCGAAAGCCUGAUGCAGCGACGCCGCGUGAGCGAAGAAGUAUUUCGGUAUGUAAAGCUCUAUCAGCAGGGAAGAUAAUGACGG
rnacentral:rRNA from 1 species